rnacentral:piRNA from 1 species
UNCUAGCUUUGUGCUUUGUGCCUCCACC